GUAUGGUGCGAACGUUGUUCGGGAAUCACUGGGGCCUAAAGAGCGCGUAGGCGGCUAGGUAAGUCAGAUGUGAAAUCCCUCGGGCUCAACCGAGGAACUGCAUUUGAAACUGCUUGGCUAGAGUGCAGGAGGGGAGAGUGGAAUUCCUGGUGGAGCGGUGAAAUGCGUAGAUAUCAGGAGGAACGCCGGCGGCGAAAGCGGCUCUCUGGUCUGUUACUGACGCUGAGGCGCGAAAGCUAGGGGAGCAAACGGGAUUAGAUACCCCGGUAGUCCUAGCCCUAAACGAUGGGCACUAGGUAGAGGGGAUUCCGAUAUUUUCUCUGCUGAAGCUAACGUAUUAAGUGCCCCGCCUGGGGAGUAUGGUCGCAAAGGCUG
rnacentral:rRNA from 1 species